AGAGUUUGAUCCUGGCUCAGGAUGAACGCUAGCUACAGGCUUAACACAUGCAAGUCGAGGGGAAACGAUAGAGAAAGCUUGCUUUUUCUAGGCGUCGACCGGCGCACGGGUGAGUAACGCGUAUCCAACCUGCCCACCACUUGGGGAUAACCUUGCGAAAGUAAGACUAAUACCCAAUGACGUCUCUAGAAGACGUCUGAAAGGGAUUAAAGAUUUAUCGGUGAUGGAUGGGGAUGCGUCUGAUUAGCUUGUUGGCGGGGUAACGGCCCACCAAGGCAACGAUCAGUAGGGGUUCUGAGAGGAAGGUCCCCCACAUUGGAACUGAGACACGGUCCAAACUCCUACGGGAGGCAGCAGUGAGGAAUAUUGGUCAAUGGGCGAGAGCCUGAACCAGCCAAGUAGCGUGCAGGAUGACGGCCCUAUGGGUUGUAAACUGCUUUUAUAAGGGAAUAAAGUGAGCCUCGUGAGGCUUUUUGCAUGUACCUUAUGAAUAAGGACCGGCUAAUUCCGUGCCAGCAGCCGCGGUAAUACGGAAGGUCCGGGCGUUAUCCGGAUUUAUUGGGUUUAAAGGGAGCGUAGGCCGGAGAUUAAGCGUGUUGUGAAAUGUAGAUGCUCAACAUCUGCACUGCAGCGCGAACUGGUUUCCUUGAGUACGCACAAAGUGGGCGGAAUUCGUGGUGUAGCGGUGAAAUGCUUAGAUAUCACGAAGAACUCCGAUUGCGAAGGCAGCUCACUGGAGCGCAACUGACGCUGAAGCUCGAAAGUGCGGGUAUCGAACAGGAUUAGAUACCCUGGUAGUCCGCACGGUAAACGAUGGAUGCCCGCUGUUGGUCUGAAUAGGUCAGCGGCCAAGCGAAAGCAUUAAGCA
rnacentral:rRNA from 1 species